CGUACACUCCUGCGGGAGGCAGCAGUGGGGAAUAUUGGACAAUGGGCGCAAGCCUGAUCCAGCCAUGCCGCGUGAGUGAUGAAGGCCCUAGGGUUGUAAAGCUCUUUCACCGGUGAAGAUAAUGACGGUAACCGGAGAAGAAGCCCCGGCUAACUUCGUGCCAGCAGCCGCGGUAAUACGAAGGGGGCUAGCGUUGUUCGGAUUUACUGGGCGUAAAGCGCACGUAGGCGGACUAUUAAGUCAGGGGUGAAAUCCCGGGGCUCAACCCCGGAACUGCCUUUGAUACUGGUAGUCUUGAGUUCGAGAGAGGUGAGUGGAAUUCCGAGUGUAGAGGUGAAAUUCGUAGAUAUUCGGAGGAACACCAGUGGCGAAGGCGGCUCACUGGCUCGAUACUGACGCUGAGGUGCGAAAGCGUGGGGAGCAAACAGGAUUAGAUACCCGAGUAGUCCC
rnacentral:rRNA from 1 species